rnacentral:ncRNA from 1 species
CGAAAGGGCAAACCCUUCGAAAGGAGGGGGCGCAAAGCCACGGGCCCUCACGCCUUGUGCGGUAGGGUAGCCGGGCUGCCGAA